GAAGAUGGCGGCUGCAUCUUUGAAGGAGAGGAAUUGAGAGUGGGGAGAAGGGAAGAGGACCAGACGGGAGAGACAUUCCCUACGGCGCCGAAGGACGCCGCGCUCGCGGUUAGGAGCUCUUCCCGGCCCCCCACGUGACUUAGUAGGAAAACAUCACCAUGGCUACAGAAAUUGGCUCUCCUCCACGAUUUUUCCAUAUGCCGAGGUUCCAGCACCAGGCUCCCCGACAGUUGUUCUAUAAGCGGCCUGACUUUGCACAGCAGCAGGCAAUGCAGCAGCUCACCUUUGACGGGAAGCGGAUGAGAAAGGCCGUGAACCGGAAAACCAUAGACUACAACCCCUCUGUCAUUAAGUAUUUGGAGAAUAGGAUAUGGCAAAGAGAUCAGAGAGAUAUGCGGGCAAUUCAGCCGGAUGCAGGUUAUUAUAAUGAUCUGGUCCCACCUAUAGGAAUGUUGAAUAAUCCUAUGAAUGCAGUAACAACGAAAUUUGUUAGGACAUCAACAAACAAAGUAAAAUGCCCAGUGUUUGUUGUGAGGUGGACCCCGGAAGGAAGACGGUUGGUCACUGGAGCUUCUAGUGGGGAGUUCACCUUGUGGAACGGGCUGACUUUCAACUUUGAAACCAUAUUGCAGGCUCAUGAUAGCCCUGUGAGGGCCAUGACUUGGUCACAUAAUGACAUGUGGAUGUUGACAGCAGAUCAUGGAGGAUAUGUGAAAUAUUGGCAAUCCAACAUGAACAACGUCAAGAUGUUCCAGGCACAUAAGGAGGCGAUUAGAGAGGCCAGGUUUAUACACAAUAUACCAUUUUCUGUAGUCCCUAUUGUCAUGGUUAGAUUACUCUCUAAGUGUAUUCUGGGUGCAGAGAUGCAUGGGCUCUCUCAGAUUCUGGGAAACUUUCUGCACCUUAUGAACACAGUAUUUCUCUUUGUUUUCACACAUUCACCAUUUUGCUGGCACCUUUCUGAAGUAGUUUUGUCCUGGUAUCAGCCUUUGCAAUAUGUUAGAGAUGUAUUGUCUGCCACAUUUUGCACUGGUUUUCUCUUUUCAUUUAUGGCUAAUAAUGUGUAUACGUUAUUCCUUUUUAUUAUCUACUGUGUAAGACAAGAAUAUUCCAAAUAAAGAAUUCAGUCUUUAAUUAUACAACUGAAUAAAAUCUAAAGCCUGCAGAAAUCACCUUCAGAAUCCACACAAAAUUCAAGGAAAAAAGGCUUAAGUGAAGACCUGGUUGGCUUGGUUCUGCCACGACUUCAAAAAGAAAGUAUAGGACUAAAAACCUCACAGAUAACUCUCUGGACGUGGCAAACAUUAACGGAUUAAUGAAUGGGUUCUUCAUGCUUUGCAGCUGUAAGCAGACCUUUGUCAAAGAAGACUCUAGGACUUUUCUUCUGAUUCACUGUUGAUAACAUGACUUAUGCAAAUGUAUGAGUGGAGUUAAAACCUUUCCAGUGAGUUGUAUGCUUUUCCGUAACAGUGAGAAACGUGUAGUAAACCUGGGGGGAAGAGUCUCACAAACAAGCCUGAAGGAUCGCUGCCGCCUCAGAAUAAAGCUAAGCAGCGUUCUUCUAAGGUUGUGCCAUCUGCGUGUGGGAAGAGGUUCACUUUAGAUACACUUUUGGCAGUCACUUGUUCCUACUUUCAGAAUCCACAGAACUUGCUGCAUAUACAUGUUUCUGCAUUCUAGACUUGGCCUCAGGGUCGUGCUCAUAAUUUUUUUUUUCAAUGUUAGUCAUUCAAAAAAGUUCAAGGGAGUUCAUACAGUUCAUUGAGAAUCUUGAUCUUUUUUCACAGCCAGGAAGAAAGCUGG
rnacentral:lncRNA from 1 species